GCCCGUAUAGCUCAGCGGGAGAGCAUCGCUCUUACAAAGCGAGGGUCCCAGGUUCGAAUCCUGGUGCGGGCA
rnacentral:tRNA from 1 species